UCGGGAAUUUUGGACAAUGGGCGAAAGCCUGACCCAGCAACGCCGCGUGGAGGAUGAAGGUCUUCGGAUUGUAAACUCCUGUUGCCCGGGACGAAUAGCUUCGACCUAAUACGUCGGAGUAUGACGGUACCGGGUGAGGAAGCCCCGGCUAACUCUGUGCCAGCAGCCGCGGUAAUACAGAGGGGGCAAGCGUUGUUCGGAAUUACUGGGCGUAAAGGGCGCGUAGGCGGCCUGUUAAGUCGAACGUGAAAUCCCUGGGCUUAACCCAGGAACUGCGUCCGAUACUGGCUGGCUUGAAUCCGGGAGAGGGAUGCGGAAUUCCAGGUGUAGCGGUGAAAUGCGUAGAUAUCUGGAGGAACACCGGUGGCGAAGGCGGCAUCCUGGACCGGUAUUGACGCUGAGGCGCGAAAGCCAGGGGAGCAAACGGGAUUAGAUACCCUAGUAGUCCCUGAGCGGGCUGGCAAGGCGCAU
rnacentral:rRNA from 1 species